AAAGGUUUGGUCCUGGUCUUUUUAUUAGUUGUUAGCAAAAUUAUACAUGCAAGACUCAUCAUUCCAGUGAGAAUGCCCUCCACGUCAAUAAGACCAGAGGAGCGGGUAUCAAGCACACCCUAGUAGCUCAUCACACCUUGCUAAGCCACACCCCCACGGGAUACAGCAGUAAUUAAAAUUAAGCAAUAAACGAAAGUUUGACUAAGUUAUGAGGGUUGGUAAAUUUCGUGCCAGCCACCGCGGUCAUACGAUUAACCCUAACUAAUAAACCUCGGCGUAAAGAGUGUUARAAAAUAAAGAUUAAAUUUUAUCUAAGUCGUAAAAAACAACAGAUAAAAAUAAGACCAUAAACGAAAGUAAUCUUAAUAAAUCUGAAUACACUAAAGCUAAGACCCAAACUGGGAUUAGAUACCCCACUAUGCUUAGCCRUAAACAUAGAUAUUUAAUAACAAGAAUUUUCGCCAGAGUACUACUAGCAACAGCUUAAAACUCAAAGGACUUGGCGGUGCUUUAAACCCACCUAGAGGAGCCUGUUCUAUAAUCGAUAAACCCCGAUAUACCUUACCACUUCUUGCUAAUUCAGUCUAUAUACCGCCAUCUCCAGCAAACCCCAACAGGGAUUAAAAGUAAGCACAACUAUGCUCAUAAAGACGUUAGGUCAAGGUGUAACUAAUGAAGUGGAAAGUAAUGGGCUACAUUUUCUUUCUCCAASHAYSWAWUUAAGGAGGAUUUAGUAGUAAAUUAAGAAUAGAGAGCUUAAUUGAAUUAGGCAAUAAAGCACGCACACACCGCCCGUCACCCUCCUCAAGUAUUAACUCAAAUUWAAUAUGAGAGGAGAUAAGUCGUAACAAGGUAAGCAUACUGGAAAGUGUGCUUGGAAU
rnacentral:ncRNA from 1 species